UACGUAGGGUGCAAGCGUUAAUCGGAAUUAUUGGGCGUAAAGAGCUCGUAGGCGGUUUGUCGCGUCUGCCGUGAAAGUCCGGGGCUUAACUCCGGAUCUGCGGUGGGUACGGGCAGACUAGAGUGCAGUAGGGGAGACUGGAAUUCCUGGUGUAGCGGUGAAAUGCGCAGAUAUCAGGAGGAACACCGAUGGCGAAGGCAGGUCUCUGGGCAUUAACUGACGCUGAGGAGCGAAAGCAUGGGGAGCGAACAGG
rnacentral:rRNA from 1 species